AACGAACGCUGGCGGCAGGCUUAACACAUGCAAGUCGAACGCAUCCUUCGGGGUGAGUGGCAGACGGGUGAGUUACGCGUGGGAACGUGCCCUUCAGUUCGGGAUAACCCAGGGAAACUUGGGCUAAUACCGGAUACGUGCGAGAGCAGAAAGAUUUAUCGCUGAAGGAUCGGCCCGCGUCUGAUUAGCUAGUUGGUGGGGUAAUGGCCCACCAAGGCGACGAUCAGUAGCUGGUCUGAGAGGAUGAUCAGCCACAUUGGGACUGAGACACGGCCCAAACUCCUACGGGAGGCAGCAGUAGGGAAUAUUGGACAAUGGGUGCAAGCCUGAUCCAGCCAUGCCGCGUGAGUGAUGAAGGCCUUAGGGUUGUAAAGCUCUUUCGUCCGGGACGAUAAUGACGGUACCGGAAGAAGAAGCCCCGGCUAACUUCGUGCCAGCCGCCGCCGUAA
rnacentral:rRNA from 1 species